GCUUACCAUGCAAGUCGAGCGGUAAGGCUCCUUCGGGAGUACACGAGCGGCGAACGGGUGAGUAACACGUGAGCAACCUGCCCUUCUCAUCGGAAUAAGCGUUGGAAACGACGUCUAAUGCCGAAUACGACCUCAGAAGGCAUCUUCAGAGGUGGAAAGCUCCGGCGGAGAAGGAUGGGCUCGCGGCCUAUCAGCUUGUUGGUGGGGUAACGGCCCACCAAGGCGACGACGGGUAGCCGGCCUGAGAGGGUGACCGGCCACACUGGGACUGAGACACGGCCCAGACUCCUACGGGAGGCAGCAGUGGGGAAUAUUGGACAAUGGGCGAAAGCCUGAUCCAGCAACGCCGCGUGAGGGAUGACGCCUUCGGGUUGUAAACCUCUUUCAGCACCGACGAAGCGAAAGGACGGUAGGUGCAGAAGAAGGACCGGCCACUACGUGCCAGCAGCCGCGGUAAUACGUAGGGUCCGAGCGUUGUCCGGAAUUAUUGGGCGUAAAGGGCUCGUAGGCGGUUUGUCGCGUCGGGAGUGAAAACUCAGGGCUCAACCCUGAGCGUGCUUCCGAUACGGGCAGACUAGAGGUAUGCAGGGGAGAACGGAAUUCCUGGUGUAGCGGUGGAAUGCGCAGAUAUCAGGAGGAACACCGGUGGCGAAGGCGGUUCUCUGGGCAUUACCUGACGCUGAGGAGCGAAAGCAUGGGGAGCGAACAGGAUUAGAUACCCUGGUAGUCCAUGCCGUAAACGUUGGGCGCUAGGUGUGGGGACCUUCCACGGUCUCCGUGCCGCAGCUAACGCAUUAAGCGCCCCGCCUGGGGAGUACGGCCGCAAGGCUAAAACUCAAAGGAAUUGACGGGGGCCCGCACAAGCGGCGGAGCAUGCUGAUUAUUCGAUGCAACGCGAAGAACCUUACCUGGGUUUGACAUAUACCGGAAAGCUGCAGAGAUGUAGCCCCCCUUGUGGUCGGUAUACAGGUGGUGCAUGGCUGUCGUCAGCUCGUGUCGUGAGAUGUUGGGUUAAGUCCCGCACGAGCGCACCCUCGUCCUAUGUUGCCAGCACGUAAAGGUGGGGACUCAUAGGAGACUGCCGGGGUCAACUCGGAGGAAGGUGGGGAUGACGUCAAGUCUUCAUGCCCCUUAUGUCCAGGGCUUCAAGCAUGCUACAAUGGCCGGUACAAAGGGCUGCGAAACCGCGAGGUGGAGCGAAUCCCAAAAAGCCGGUCUCAGUUCGGAUUGGGGUCUGCAACUCGACCCCAUGAAGUCGGAGUCGCUAGUAAUCGCAGAUCAGCAACGCUGCGGUGAAUACGUUCCCGGGCCUUGUACACACCGCC
rnacentral:rRNA from 1 species